rnacentral:lncRNA from 1 species
UGUCUCUCCCAGAGAGGCAGACAUGGGAGAUGGAGUCAUCUGGACAUCACAUCUAGCUCCUACAAGAGGAGACAAUGAAUAUCCAUAUAGAACCCACAGACUCCAAAAGCAAUAUCGCCUGCAGAAGAGGAUUUUAUCCACAAGCCUGGGACAUACGUCAGACCUGAACGGUCUGUGAGGUCUGCAAGGACUGUGGGUCUUCUCUAAAAAUGUUCUGCAACUUUGGGAAGUCACCUGCUCUCUUGUCUUGGAGGCUACCAAGAGUCCACUCUACAAAGAGGAGGGCAACAUAGAGGAAAAUAUUCUUCAGUGCUUCAAGGGGAAGCCCCACCCAGCCCCAGCAAGGCCUUUGACUUAUCUCACAGAGACAGGCAAUGAAUAAAGACAGGCUCCAAGAGUAAGAGAUUCCUCCCAAGCCCAAGUGAGUCCUGUAAAUGUAACUGAUUUUAGCAGGACAAAAACAAGCAAUAAUUUUGGCUACCUGCUUGAUCUUAAACACCCAACAGUAAACAUAAAAUUAAAUAAAAUUAAAAUAAAAACAGUAAACAUUAAAAUGUAAACAUUAAAAGGAUUGGUAUGAUACUUUAACAAUUAAAGGGACAUAAAUGAUGUUUGGACAACUAUUCCUCAUUGAUGAUUCUCUUCCUCAUAAGACCUGCAUUGGCCCACCUUACCUCUACAGUGUCUACACACAGCUGAGAAGCAGGCUUAUCUGCUUAGAUGCUGAGCCCAAAUGUUAAAGCUGUAUGUCUUACCUAUAGAACACUAUCUGUGUCUGGAAGUGUAUUUCACAGAGAUGUAAUGCGUCCUUACAUCCUGUUUACUGAAUAAAGUAUGGAGCCAGAUACUCA